UUUUCUUUCGGUCUUGACAUUUCCAUCAGCCUGACUAAAGAUCAUCCUCAGAGAGUUCAUCAAAAUAUGGCAGCAGCCCAUCUAAGACCUUAUUUGAGUGAUGUUUACUUUGCACUUCAGGCGGCUCAAUUGGCUUUUAAUCAGAUUUCGGGUGCGCUCGGAUCUGGGCCAUUGUGAGUCUAACCUUUGAAGAUUGCUGGUUACAUCUUCUCUUCGCGCGCAUUUGAGCAAGGUAGAUGACUCAAUGGAGUUGUGAACAUGUAUUUCAACUCCACAAACAGAUUCAACUUCAGCUUGGAGAAAACUGAAGUUGGCGAUGCAUAGCCGACCUCAACGCCAGAUGACUCAAUUCUUUGACAGGUCUUGGGUGCGCUCGGACCUGGGAUUGUUCGAGUCUGGUUUGAGUGAGGUUGUCAUGUUUGGCAUCUCACGAAGUUGGGAGAAUUCUGCACAGCGACUCGAGAAGAUUGAGUCUUCUCUUCUUGAUGCUUAAGCCAAGGAGAAUGAAGCCAUCGUCA
rnacentral:lncRNA from 1 species